rnacentral:rRNA from 1 species
GACGAACGCUGGCGGCGUGCUUAACACAUGCAAGUCGAACGGAAAGGCCCUGCGUUUGUGGGGUGCUCGAGUGGCGAACGGGUGAGUAACACGUGUGUAACCUGCCCUUGACUUUGGGAUAACUUCAGGAAACUGGGGCUAAUACCGGAUAGGAGCUCCUGCUGCAUGGUGGGGGUUGGAAAGUUUCGGCGGUUGGGGAUGUACUCGCGGCUUAUCAGCUUGUUGGUGGGGUAGGGGCGUACCAAGGCUUGGACGGGUAGCCGGCCUGGGAGGGUGACAGGCAACAUAGGCAUAGGGAAACGGCCAAGAGGCAUACGGGAGCAAGGAGCGAGGACUAGUCCAAAAAGCGCGGAGGCAUGAUGGAGGAACGCCGCGUGGGGGAAGACGGCUUUCGGGUAGUAACCAGCUUUCGCGUGUGAAGAAGCGUGAGGACCGGAAAUGGGCAAAGAAGCACGGGUAAAUUCGGG